rnacentral:misc_RNA from 1 species
CGAAAUGCGAUAAGUAAUGUGAAUUGCAGAAUUCAGUGAAUCAUCGAAUCUUUGAACGCACCUUGCGCUCCUUGGUAUUCCUUGGAGCAUGCCUGUUUGAGUAUCAUGAAAUCUUCAAAGUAAAUCUUUUGUUAACUCAAUUGGUUUCUACUUUGGUAUUGGAGGUCUUUGCAGCUUCACACCUGCUCCUCUUUGUUCAUUAGCUGGAUCUCAGUGUUAUGCUUGGUUCCACUCGGCGUGAUAAGUUAUCUAUCGCUGAGGACACUGUAAUAGGUGGCCAAGGUAAAUGCAGAUGAACCGCUUCUAAUAGUCCAUUGACUUGGACAAUACUUUUAUGAUCUGAUCUCAAAUCAGGUAGGACUACCCGCUGAACUUAAGC